rnacentral:rRNA from 1 species
CCUACGGGAGGCAGCAGUGAGGAAUAUUGGUCAAUGGGCGUGAGCCUGAACCAGCCAAGUCGCAUGAGGGAUGAAGGUUCUAUGGAUCGUAAACCUCUUUUGUAAGGGAACAAAGUGUCGCACGUGUCCUGUUUUGUAUGUACCUUGUGAAUAAGGAUCGGCUAACUCCGUGCCAGCAGCCGCGGUAAUACGGAGGAUGCGAGCGUUAUCCGGAUUUAUUGGGUUUAAAGGGUGCGUAGGCGGCCUGUUAAGGCAGCGGUGAAAUUUCGGGGCUCAACCAUGGUAGUGCCGUUGAAACUGGGGGCCUUGAGUAGGUGAGAGGAAGGCGGAAUGCGUGGUGUAGCGGUGAAAUGCUUAGAUAUCACGCAGAACCCCGAUUGCGAAGGCAGCGUGCC